rnacentral:rRNA from 1 species
GACGAACGCUGGCGGCGUGCUUAACACAUGCCAGUCGAACGGAAAGGCCCUGCUUGCAGGGUACUCGAGUGGCGAACGGGUGAGUAACACGUGGGUGAUCUGCCCUGCACUUCGGGAUAAGCCUGGGAAACUGGGUCUAAUACCGGAUAGGAGCCAUUUUUAGUGUGAUGGUUGGAAAGUUUUUUCGGUGUAGGAUGAGCUCGCGGCCUAUCAGCUUGUUGGUGGGGUAAUGGCCUACCAAGGCGGCGACGGGUAGCCGGCCUGAGAGGGUGGACGGCCACAGUGGGACUGAGAUACGGCCCAGACUCCUACGGGAGGCAGCAGUGGGGAAUAUUGCACAAUGGGCGCAAGCCUGAUGCAGCGACGCCGCGUGGGGGAGGACGGCCUUCGGGUUGUAAACUCCUUUCGCUAGGGACGAAGCUUUUUGUGACGGUACCUAGAUAAGAAGCACCGGCUAACUACGUG